rnacentral:rRNA from 1 species
UACGACCUACGGGAGGCAGCAGUGGGGAAUAUUGCACAAUGGGGGGAACCCUGAUGCAGCGACGCCGCGUGGGUGAGGAAGUACUUCGGUAUGUAAAGCCCUAUCAGCAGGGAAGAAAAUGACGGUACCUGACUAAGAAGCCCCGGCUAACUACGUGCCAGCAGCCGCGGUAAUACGUAGGGGGCAAGCGUUAUCCGGAUUUACUGGGUGUAAAGGGAGCGUAGACGGCUGUGCAAGUCUGAAGUGAAAUGCCGGGGCCCAACCCCGGAACCGCUUUGGAAACUGUACAGCUAGAGUGCAGGAGG